AGUCAAUCCAAAUAUUUCUGCAGCAACAUGAGUUUCCGGAAGCUUGGGAAACUGACCGGUGAAAGUGGAGGUGACUUUGAGCAGCAGAUCAGAUUCGAAACACUCGGAUGUGAACAUAAGGAAUAGAUUCUUCACAUUUUAAAUGGAGUAACUUUUUCAUGUCGGUACUGUCCAUCGAACACUCAUAUGAGAAGGUAUACUUUCUCUCCAUUGCCGUGUUCUCUGUGCAUGUGCUGAUCCCAUCUCUACACGCCAUCACUACCUUAGAUGCUGCGGGUCUUCUUGUUCUGAUCUGCUGUCAAAAAUAUCCGAAGCUGCGCAUCCCACGGUGAUGUCAUUUUGAAGGCUAACAAAAAUAAACAAUCCGCACACGAGAAAUCGAGACACCAGCUGCAAUAAGUGAGGUUUUAUUCACGUGGGACUAUGCAAGUUUAAAUUUCCACCUAACCCGCUACUCGAAGUCACCUCCAUUUCACCGGUCAGUUUGCCAAGCUUCAGGAAACUCAUGUUGCUGCAGAAAUAUUUGGAUUGACUGUGACAGACGUCAAUCAGAGAGCCCACCCACUCUGCCCAUUCUCUCCUCUUCCUCUUCCAGAGCUGCUUCACUUCCUAUACGUACUCGAAACCAAAUGAGGAUAGCAGCUUUUAGACAAAUUGUUUUCCAGCAGCUACUCCGAGAGUUAACGCUGGUGUUCACGGUGAACAGCUGAAGAGCUGAGUCAAUACUCAGCAGCGAGGUUCUGGUUUGAAAUCAAUAUGUAGACAGGAGAAGGACUGCACUGUGCUACACCAGAGAAUAGAGAGAGGGUAAACAUCGCAAAUAGAUCCCGACCAUUACCCAAGGAACAACUGCUCAACUGCUGGAAGACAUCCAAUCUCUUCACAGCUUUGCUGAACCAAGAGGAGGUUGGUCAGUGAAACACAAUCUGGAAAUUGGUUGGGUCAGGGGAACUUUGACAUAUCAUCAGAUCUGAAACUGGUCAGAGCCUUUCAUCAGAACCAACCUUUCUGAAGGUUUGGCUGAGGGUGAUCGGUCAGGGGGAGGCUGGGAAGAAGUGUGAGUGGCUCCAAGUGUGGUGAGAUCAUUCAUUGAGCCUUAAGACACUCAUUCCUACAAGUGAGAGGUUGUUGUGUUUGAGGUGUACAAAGAAGGUUCACAGUUUGACAAUAUUUCUGAACACACAAGGUACAUCUGUUGUGUAACGGUUAACACAACUGCAGCCACCUGCAAAAGAAACCAGUCGCAGUUUGGUGCACUAUCAAGGCUCAUGACUAACCGACGUAUUCACAUGAGAGAGAAACCAUUCACAUGUGAGGUCUGCAACAAAACAUUCUCGGAGUCAUCAAACCUCCGCAGACACCGGCGCAUUCACACAGGGGAGAAACCGUUCACAUGUGACGUGUGUGAUAAAUCAUUCUCGCAGUCAGAGAACCUGCUGAGACACCAACGCAUCCACACAGGGGAGAAGCCAUUCACGUGUGAAGUGUGUGACAAAUCAUUCUCAGAAUCAGAGAACCUUCGCACCCAUCUACGCACGCACACUGGGGAAAAACCAUACACGUGUGAGGUGUGCGACAAAUCCUUCUCCCUCUCCUCUACCCUCCGCAAACACCAACAUGUUCACACAAAGGAAAAACCAUUCAAGUGUGAGGUGUGCAACAAAUCAUUCUUAGACUCUUCGACUCUCUGCUCACACCAACGCAUUCACACAGAGGAGAAACCAUUCACCUGUAAGGUGUGUGACAAAUCAUUCUCUAACUCAUCAACCCUCUGCAAACACAGACGUAUUCACACAGGGCAGAAACCGUUCAGAUGUGGAUUUUGUGAGAAGGCUUUCACCAACUCCUCUGAUCUGCUGAAGCACCAACACAUUCACACGGGAGAGAAACCAUUCACUUGCAAGGUGUGCUGUAAAUCAUUCUCGGCAUCAUCAUCCCUCCGCACACACCAACGCUUUCACACAGGGGAGAAACCAUUCACUUGCAACGUUUGUGAAAAGGCUUUCACCAUCUCAUCUGAUCUCCUGAAACACCAAUACAUUCACACAGGAGCAAAACCAUUCCCGUGCAAACUGUGUAAUAAAUCAUUUUCACAGUCGACAAAUCUCCGCAGACACCAACGUGUUCACACAGGAGAGAAACCAUUCACAUGUGAGGUGUGUGACAAAUCAUUCACGGAGAGAUCGAAUCUUCACAGACACCAGCGCAUUCACACUGUGGAGUAACUUUUCAACUGUGAGGUUUGUAAUAAAGGAAAUGUGAUGUCUUCAAACGUCCUAGGACAUCAGAGGAUUCACAAGGGGGGAAAUUCUUCAGGUUUGGUGUUUGCGACCAGGCUCUUACCCACUCCUCUCCCACUCUCUUUAAACAUCAGAUCUUACAGAGGUUAGAAACCAUUCGGGUGUGUGACAACUGAGUGUAACUUUGAACAGAAUGCUGACACUUGGAUAGAUCCUGACCAUUACCCAAGGAACAGCUGCACAACUGUGGGAAGACAUACAAUCCCUUCACAGCAUUGAUGAACACAGAGAAGGUUGGGCAGCGAAACAACCAUCUGGAAAUCUUUUGGGUCAGGGGAGCUUUGACACAUCAUGAGAUCUGAAAUCGGUCAAUGGUCUGCAGCCUUCCAUCAGCACCAACUUUUCUGAAGAUUUGGCUGUGGAUGGUUGGUCAGGGUGAAGCUGGGAAGAAGAGUGAGUGGCUCCAAGUGUAGAUAAAGCUUCAAUCAUUCAUUCAGCCUCAUGAAUCAUUUCUACAGGUGAGAGGCUAUUCAAAUGUGAGGUGUGUGAAGAGGAUUCCAAAGGCUCGUAAAAUAUCCUGACACACAAGGUGCAUCUGUGGAAUAACUAUUAACAAAUGAAUAGUUACAUGGAAGAGAAACCCUUCAAGUGUGAGGUGUGUGAUCGAGCUUUUAAACAGUCAUUGAUGCUUCUGAAUUACUGUUGCAUUCAUGCAGGGGAGAAACCAUUCAAAUGUGAUGCGUGUAACCAGAGCUUUGCGUAUUCACACGGGGGAGGAAUCAUUUAGGUGCAGGGUGUGCAGUAAAUUGUUAUCACGGUCACUGACACUCCUCAUGCACCAACAUGUUAUAUGGAGAGAAACCACUUAAGUGCAACAAAUCAUUCUCAACAUCAUUAGACCUUCGUAUAUAUCAAUGCAUUCUUACAGGGGAGAGACCAAACCGUGUGAAAAGUCAUUCUUGUCAUCAUCAGUUCUCCAUGUGCAUCAAUGCAUUCACACAGAAGAGACUGGUCAGAUAUAAAGUGUGUAACAAAUUGUUCUCACAGUCAGGAAAUCUCUGCACAUACCUUCGCACCCACACAGGGGAGAAACUGUUCAAUAGUAAAGUGUCUGAAAGAUCAUUUUCUGCUUCACCAGAGAAUUCAGACAGGGGAGAAACUAUUCACCUGUGCCAUGUGCAGUAAAUCAUUCACAAAGUCAUAGAACCUCCUGUUCCCUCACAGGAUCCACAUGGGAGAGUGAAGGACUUACAAUGGAACUUUCAUGAUGUCUUUGCUCAUCCAGGGCACCACAGGAUUUACACAAUGGAGAGAGUCUACAGGUGCAGUGUUUGUGACAAGGCUUUCGCACAGUCAGCAUUUCUCUUCAUCAACACACCCACCCAGGAGAGAAACAAUUUAGUGUGACUUUUGUAAUGAAAUAUUAACAGUUUGUAGACCUUGUGGAACAUGAGUGAACCCACAAACGAAUGAUCAACCUAUAUUUUUGCCCAUCUUGUCCUCAGAGUAUUUACCUGUACACAGGGUGUUCAGUGGGACUGGGACACAGAACAAGAAGCAGCUUUCACUCCCAUCAAACACCAAGUGAUGACAUCACCAGUGCUGAGGGAUUAUGAUGUCAACAAUGGAGCCACCCUGCAGUGUGAUGUCAGUGACACAGGACUUGGAGCAUCCCCAUACAGUGAGGGCAACCCGUUGUAUUUGUAUCCAGUUAACACAAACUGAACAACACUGCACACGGAUGGAUAAAGACAGCCUUGCUUUUGAACCUUUUGGGGGAGAGAGAAAGCAAUCUGACCACAAGCCGUUCAAAGCAUCUCUCUCAAACCACUUGUAUUUGCACAAGGGCAUUUGCACAGGCUGUUAUUUUUCUUGUAGAGUCGAUACUUGGAAAUAAAGGACAAGCAAGGGAAGCAGAUGUACAUCGUCGACAUGCUGUCGAGAGCUGCUGUCACUUUCAAGUUGAUGGUGUUUGUACAAAGUGUGAAAUCUUUCAGCAACAGUAUGACAUGCUCAAGAGUCAUCAAUCCAGUGGAGACAUUGAACCAGAUCUUCAGGUCUCCGACUGUCAUAGACUGGAGGUAAGAUAUUGGAGCUGUUUACACUGACACACUGUUCUAUAGCAAAUGUGUAGGAAGUUUGAACAUCCAAUAAGUCAGGACCCUCCAAAAGUUCAGACAGUCCAUCCCUGAGACUUGAGACAAUUCCAAAGUAUUCGCCUGGAUAGUUACCAGGAAAUUUUAGGCAGGAAGAAACUUUGUAUAUCUGCUGGGUGUCCAUGCAGCUACUCACACUGACCUUGCAACUAUCCCACUACCACAACCCUCUAACUCCCUGAGAUCUGGCCUGAUGAGACCAUCACUCCAGCAGACUCAACUGUCCAGCUUUCAUCACCCGACUACCCAUUAAAAACCAAACUUAUCUAAGACCUGAACCACCAACUCAUUCACCAGCGCACCAGGUACCACCUGUACUCAUUCUCUUCACUGCUGUCUGUGUGGAUUCCUGCACUGAUUCUCUUUACUUUUCCAUGUAGAUUCCUGUAGUGAGGAAGUUCAUCUCACUGCUGCAUCAGAAGUUUGAUCAGAAAACCAAACUAGGUAAUCGGUAAUUUUCUGUCUAGUGUCAAACACAGGGACUCUGACUCAGAGUCAAAGGUUUGGAAUAACCUACCAAAUCAAGCAUACUACACAAGGUGUAACUUUUCAAAUGCUAGGGAAAGUCGAGGUAAAAGGAUGGCCUGCAUCCAUAAAGGACAGACAUGGUACUGUAAGAGAGUAAACGGAGAUGAAAUGAUCACCGAAGAUGGUGAUACACCAUGUACAAAAGAAGAAGGAUCAUUAACCUGAAAGAGAUGAGAAAAGACAUACUGAAGCACAUCCUACACAAAUUAUUAAGGAAUUGAGUCUAGUCUAUGGAAGGAAAGAGAAGUGCUCUACUGGCUAAAACAAGCAAUGAGAUAAAGGACCACAUCAGCAAGUGCUAUGUUUGUAAUGAACAUCAAACUAAACCAGAUAAAGAGCUGUUCAUGACUGCUGACAUCCCAGACAGCCCAUGGAUAAAACUUGGAGUAGACCUCUUCAUUCUCACUGGAACUAUCUUGUCACAGUCAACUGCUAUUCAGGUAGCGGGGAGUUACAGCAGUGACAUCAGUGACUCCCAGUGAGACUGUAGAAUGUAUGAAAGCACACUGCAGUCAUUAUGACAUUCCUGAUAUUGUGAUAAGUGAGAAUGACCGCAAUUCAUGAGUGACAAAUUCAGACAGUGAUUUGAGAAAUUCAGCCCCCCAUAUCAUUUUCACACUAUCACCAAUAUAAUAGAAAGGCUGAAGAACUGGUGAAAAUUGCUGAAGGGAUAAAUGUGUACAAAGUGAUCUUCAAGCGAAGAAACACACCUACCGAAGGCAGGAAAAGUUGCCCAGUCCAGCAGGUAAUGUCACAUGGUACACAGAUUGCUCUUCCAAUUGAUAAAAUUCGACUGAGGUCAGAAAUAGGAACGGGACUGAGUGACAAGAUCAAAGUGAAAUGACAGAAAGCUAAACAUUACUUUGAGCAAUGUGCUAAAUCAUUGUCAGGAUUGAGAGUUGGACAGCCAAUCAGAGUGCAGAUGUUCAAUGCAUUCAAGAAAAGGCAGCCUGUGUGGUAACUUGAGACUUGUGUACAGAAGUUGUCACUGUGAUCGUUAACAGUGAAAGGAAACUGUCAGAUCCGUUGUCAAAACAGCAGUCACCUAAAUGCAGCCAGAGAAAGUGCAUCUUCAUUGCAAAUAGCUGAAGAGGCAACUGAGUGAAGAACUGAAUGACCAUCAGUCUCAGAAGUAAGCCAGCCCCCCAACAAAUGCAAUGUAUCAGCAACAACAGUUAUCACAGUAACAAUGACUUCCUGAGAACACUAUGGGUAUAUUGACACCACCACAGCCUGCUUCAAGAAGCUCACUACCAUCUUCUCAAGGUCAGCUGGGAACUCUGCAACAAAUAGUGGCCUAGCAAGUGAUGUCCACAUCCGAGGAACAAAUUUAAAAAAACCUACUGGCAUGGCCGCUAUAUUCCCCAGAGAGACAGCGUCACCUCAAAAACCAAAAAACAUUGAGAUAAACAGCCAACAAUUAACACACAUAUGAGAAGACCUAAACAAUAUAAUGUGUGUAUAGACACAGAAGAAAUUGGAAGAGACAAAGAACAAAGUUAUUUGUUCAUUUCAUAAUUUUCUGUAUUGACUGUGAAUAUGGAGUAAUUUUUAAUUAAAUACUUUUUCAAUAUGAAGUGGGGUGAUUGAAAUAAGUAUCUUUAAACACUGUAAAUUGCCAUAUGAUUGUGAUCUCUGAUGUCGAUUGUAAAGAAAGAUUUUGAUGGAAAUAGCAAUUUUACAUGAAACAUGGAUCAUUGUUUACAAUUCCGAUUGCUCCAAAUACAUUUAAUGAAUUUCCAGAAGCUUGAGAAAUUGACUGGUGAAACAGAGGUGACUUUCAGCAGCAGAUCAGGUGAGGAUUUAAACUUGUCAUUGUCCCAUCUGAAUAAAACCUCACUGACUUAUUA